CUGAAAUUCAGCCUUGUGGGCACCCUAUAUUUUUAUUUGCUAAAUGUGGCAACCCUACCCCAUAGAUAACCCCUAGGAUGAUGAGAUGCCCCUUCUGAGGGUCCUACAGCUCUGAACUAACACUUACCCACCUGAGAGACUGGGGAUCUAUUAUGAUCUCUGUAUUCUUGCUACUCAACACAGAGAGCCUGGCACAGAACAGAUGGCAGUGUUUGCUGAGUGAAUGAAUGCAUACAUAUGUGUGACAUAGCAAUAAACCUGUAUCUUCUGGUGGAAUCUUUAAGUGUUGUGAUCAGUAUACAGUGUCAAUUCCACUUAUAUCCACCUUCCCUUCACAGUCUUGGAAGAGUCACCUCAUGGUUUACACGUCCCCCCAGGCUGGUGAGCUAGAAAGCCAGGAGUCAUCUGUAGACUUAGGGAAGCCAUUACAGGACCAGUGGGGUUUUCUGUCUUUUAUAUUCGGAGUGGGGAGGAACGGGAGGGAGACCACCAUCUUCUGGCGAUAUGGAAGUCGAGAAAGGCAAACAGGAGGGAAACAAGAGAGGAAAAGAAGAGGAUGUGAAAAGCCCGAAGGAAGGCAGGAGAGCAAGAAGAUGUUUAUUGUGCUGGGUGUUCUUGGAGGCACUGAGGAUUCAGCAGUGAACAAAACAGACCUGGUCCCUGAAAGUCUCUGAAGGAGGGUGAAGCUCUUCUGCCUCUGCCAUCCCUGAGACAGCAAGAUCAAUCCCUCCUCUUCCUCUUCAGCCUACUCAACGACAAAGAUUGAGGAUGAAGACCUUUAUGAUGGUCCACUUCCACUUAAUGAACAGUAAAUAUCUUUUCUCUUCCUUAUGAUUUUCAUAAUGUUUUAUUUUCUUUAGCUUACUUUAUUGUAUGAAUACAGUGUAUGUUACAUAUAACAUACUAAAUGGGUGAACUGACUGUGUCAAGAGAGGGACCUGGUGCGUGGUGGUUGGAUCAUGGGGGUGGUUUCCCCCAUGCUAUUCUCGUGAUAAUGAGGGAGUUCUCACAAGAUCUGAUGGUUUAAAAGUGGUAGUUUCCUCUGAGCUCUCCUCUCUCUUACUCUCUCUCCUACCACCUUGUGAAGACUGUGCCUGCUUCCCCUUCACCUUCUGCCAUAAUUGUAAGUUUCCUGAGGCCUCCCAAGCCAUGCGGAACUGCGAAUCAAUUAAACCUUUUUCCUUUAUAAAUCACCCAAUCUCAGGCAGCUCUUUAUAACAGUGUGAAAUGGACUAAUACAGACAAUUGGUUCUGGCAGAGUCAGGCACUGCUAUAAAGAUAAUCUGAAAAUGUGGAAGUGACUUUGGAAGUGGGUAACAGGCAGAGGUGGUUGGAACAGUUUGGAGGGCUCAGAAAAAGACAAGAAGAUGUGGGAAAAUUUGGAACUUCCUUUCUUUUUUUUUGUGCUGGAGUCCUGCUUUGUCACCUAGACUGGAAUGCAGUGGUGAGAUCUCAGCUCACUGCAACCUCCGACUCCCAGGUUUAAGCAAUUCUCCUGCCUCAGCCUCCCAGGUAGCUGGGAUUACAGGCGCCCACUACCACGGUUGGCUAAUAUUUGUAUUUUUAGUACAGACAGGGUUUCACCAUGUUGGCCAGCUGGUCUUGCACUUCUGACCUUGUGACCCACCCACCUUGGCCUCCCAAAGUGCUGGGAUUACAGUCGUGAGCCACCGCGCCUGCCUGGCCAAGUUUGGAACUUCCUAGAGACUUGUUGAAUGGUUUUGACCAAAAUGCUGAUAGUGAUAUGGACAAUGGAGUCCAUCCAGGCUGAGGUGGUCUCAGAUGGAGAUGAUGAACUUAUUGGGCACUGGAACAAAGGUCACUCUUGCUAUGCUUUAGCAGAGACUGGUGGCAUUUUGCCUCUGCCCUAGAGAUCUGUGGAACAUUGAACUCAAGAGAGAUGAUUUAGGGUAUGGUGGAAGAAAUUUCUAAGAAGCAAAGCAUUCAAGAGGUGACCUGGUUGAUUCUGAACCUGUUCAGUCAUAUGAGUUCACAAAGAGAUUAUCUGAAACUGAAACUUUUUUAUUUAAAAGGGAAACAGAGCAUAUCAGUUUGGAAAAUUUGCAGCCUGACCAUGAGGUAAAAAAGAAAAACCCAUUUUCUGGGGAGAAAUUCAAACUGGUUGCAGAAAUUUGCAAAAGUGAGGCCAGGCGCGGUGGCUCACGCCUGUAAUUCCAACACUUUGGGAGGUUGAGGCAGGUGGAUCACAAGGUCAGGAGAUCAAGACCAUCCUGGCUAACACGAUGAAACUCUGCCUCUACUAAAAAUGCAAAAAAUUAGCUGGGUGUGGUGGCUCCCGCCUGUAGUCCCAGCUACUUGGGAGGCUGAGGCCAGAGAAUUGCUUGAACCCAGGAGGCAGAGGUUGCAGUGAGCCGAGAUUGCACCACGGCACUCCAGCCUGGGUGACAGAGCAAGACUCCAUCUCAAAAAAAAAAAAAAAAAAAAGAAAUUUGCAAAAGUGAAGAGGAGCCCAAUGUUAAUCACCAAGACAAUGGGGAAAAUAUCUCCGGGGCAUGUCUUCACAACAGCCCUUCCCAUCACAGGCCCACAGGCCUUUUAGGGAAAAAUGGUUUUGUGGGCCCCAGGGCCCUGAUGCUCUGUGCAGCCUCAGUACUUGGUGCCCUGUGUCCCAGCCUCUCCAGCUCCACUGUGGCUAAAACGGGCCAAGGUACUGCCCCGACCUUUGCUUCAGAGGGUGCAAGCCCCAAGACUUGGCAGCUUCCAUGUGGGGUCAGGCCUACAGGUGUACAGAAGACAAGAGUUGAGGUUCGAGGCGGGGCAUGGUGGUUCAUGCCUGUGAUCCCAGCACUUUGGGAGGGUGAGGUCAGGAGUUUAAGACCAGUCUGACCAACAUGGUGAAACCCUGUCUCUAUUAAAAAUACAAAAAAAUUAGCCAGGCAUGAUGGCAUUCACCUAUAAUCCCAGCUACUCUGGAGGCUGAGGCAUGAGAAUUGCUUGAACCCUGGGGGUGGAGAUUGCAACGAGCUGAGAUCGCACCAUUGCACUCCAGCCUGGGUGACAGCGAGACUCCAUCUCAAAAAAAAAAGGGCUGGUCUGACGGUAGUGGGUUAUCAGAACUUAUUAACAUUAAUGUCACUAAAGUUGGCAUACAACCCCCCACUGCUAAAUUUGACUGGCUUUUAAAAAAAAAAAAGGAGUUGAGUUUCAGAAC
rnacentral:lncRNA from 1 species